AUUACAAAUGAUACAAUUUAAACUUGAAGGUUGGAGAUGAAAUUAACUUUGUCAAUUCAUUGACCUAAAUUAAGGAGUCUGUACUAGACUAUCUGGUGAGACUCCACAGAGUCACGGGGUCCUGGAGUGUCAAAGAAGAAUGCAUGCAGGGAGAACCAGCUAGAUGGCAAAUUAAGAUGGCUGACCGAAGAAGGAAAGGUUCUCGAGUCAAUGAAUGCAAGCAGCCUGUAGAACUAAAAAGAAAAAGAAAUUGCUUCCAUUCAUGAUGAAACUAGCAUAAUUUGGUUUCUAUUCAAUAAGAGUGUACUGAACAAAUAAUUCACGGUAGAAUUGUAAAAUAAUGCAUUUGAGUUGCUUUAAUCUGUCCAUAUUUGCUGUAUUGGACAUAGCAGCAGUAGACACAAAUACAAAUGCCUUUCAUUGAUGCAGACAGCCCACACUUGUAUUCUACAUUUAAACUGUUGCUCUCCUACUUAAACUUCAAGAACUUUCUUACACAGUGAAGCAUUUGGUUUGUUCUAUAAGUUGUACAAUGAAAGUCAGAUUGACAGUGGGAUCUUUAACUCACUACAAAGAAAAUUACUCUCAUCCUAGAAUUCUACAUAGGUUUGGGUAUUUUAGCCAUGAAGAUGAAAGGCAGGGAAGAGAAGGAAAGAAGUGGGAGAUAGACACAACGCUUUGUGUAAAUGCCUCUUAGUCUGGCUUUUGCUGGCCUUUUAUCAUGGUUGGAUUCUAUCUUUCCUGUUUUAUGCUUAUUUGUGUUUUAUUUCAUACCAUGUAAACAAUUCUGCUUCCAAUGGCAGCACAUCAUGAGGUGUGGUUUUUGCACUUGCUCCAUGGUUGGCCAUGUUACUAAUGGAGCUAUCUGUAAGCUUUCCAACCAUUUAAACAAGUCACCAGUGUUAUUCUUGUCUCAGGGGAGAAGUUUGAGGCAGGGUCUUGUCACAUGGUCUUGGACAGCCUGUUUUCACUCUUUUAGUGAGUACUCAUUAGGGCUAUGAUUUUGUUCCAUGCCGUUGAUGGUCAAGAUUCUGUUUACCACUCAUCUACUCUUGACUCUUGAUUCUAUCAGUGACUACCGGUUGUUAUUGUGCCUUUCUCUUUGUGUUCUUAACUAGAAUUCAAUGCAAUACUUCUCUCCCAGUUUCACUGAGUUUUUUUUAUUUCUGAUUUCUACUUAUUUGUUCUUACUUUCCACAACAAUUUUACUGCAUUGCUGGUCAAAUCUUACAAGAGUUACAACAAAAGCUGUAUUACUCUAUCGCUGGGAAAACUGAAGGAGAUUAUGACAUGUAAAUAUUCAUGACACGAUGUGGCCUAUAGAUGGGGUAACUAUUUAGUGUCUUCUUGCAAUGUUUAUUCACACAUUAAAUAGACAUGCAAAAAAUUAAUUCAGUGUACCUGGGAGUAGUGACCCACCACUGGAAAAAGUAAUGACCACAUAAUACUGCAAUGCCGUCUUCCCAUUUUCAUUUGUUUUGUUCCUCCUGUGGCUUUUUGAGCACUGCUAAUGAGUGGAUCUAGGAACAUUUUACGUCUGUUUCUAGCUGGUGUCACUGCUUUGAGUGAUGAAGGUGAUGUAUCUGGUCAGGAGCUAUGAGGUGUAAGUGUGUUUCUUGCUUUGCUGCCUCUCCAUCCCUGUCAGUUUGAUGGAAUGCCGAAAGCUUCUUGUGAUUUACUUGGUGGGAGGCAGAUUAAUGGAUAUGGGGAACACUCAUUUUCAGUCCAGGUUCGGAGGAAUUCAUGUCUCUGGCUUGAUCCUUUAUUGAUUUUAUAGAUUUAGACAGCUUGGAGGCCAGUCUUCUCCUGUGCUGAAAACGAAACUCGGACUGUCUCAACUGCUGAGUAAUUAACUCCUCAUGCUCCACCAGGGACAAUACACCCAACGGAGUAAGGCAUAAAACUCGAGGGUCUACUCAAAACGGGGCACCCUUCAAAUAUGCCAUUUAUGAAACAGGCACUGAAGACUGAUCUACAGAGGCAUCUAUAAGUGGACAUUUCCCCUCUGUCUAAUAGAAACAGUAUUGCCUGUCAAACCUUAGUAACCUCAAUGUUGGGAAAUGAAAUAAUUAUAGCUAUAUCAAGUAUAAAUAGGACAGAAUUUACUUAUCAAUCAUGAAAGAAAAAAAACCUGGGUAUUUCUUCUAUGUUACACGGUUCCCUACGUCCUUUUUCAUUUUGUACAGGACCAUAAGACACUAGACUAGUUAACAUCUCUUUAUCCUUUGUCAUAUUGUGGUGAAGCCUCCGUAACAGGACACACUGGCCUCAGAUCCUCCAUAGGUUGAGACGGCAGAAGAGAAAUGCAGAGCUUACGAGUUCAAGAAUGUAAGUCUGAAUCGGGGUCUGGCAUUCUAAAAGAAAAGCGUAAACAGCCGCCACAGUAAAUGCACAGAUCACCGAAAGGGACUGUGGCUUUAUUUCCAGGAGACUAAUGGUUAGGACAAGAGUAAAGGGUUAAUAGAUACUUCAAGGUCUAUUUUGUUUGAAUGUCUUAGAUUCAGUAAAUAAAUGCCAGAGAGCAGGUACUGCACCUUAACACAUGCAGUGUUUUAUCUGCAUCUUGCUUAGGUUUUUCUACUCUCAUCUGGUGCAUUCUAUAAACUCUAGAUAAAAUAUUAUCCAGUAUUUGUAGUCACAGGAGAAAACAACUCACUGCGGUAUCACUAUAAUCACCAUGGGGUGUUACAUGAUCGCUGUCUUGCUUCUCCAGCGUUUUCUCGAUCUCUGAACAAUUUAUAGGUGCUGCAAAUGCAUGUAACCUGAAGCACUGCACGUCUUAUAUCACCAUGGCCUUAUCUUGACAUGUGAGAGGGAGCCGAUGAUCAUGGCUCUCAGACAGCCACUCAGCACCCGAAUGAACAGACCCUCCUCCCACCCUGCUCCCCUACCCACCCACUCCCACUUCUUGGCUGGGAAAUACAUCCCAUAAUCAGCCACCAAACGCAGACACUAUUGCAUACGCCAGCAAGAUUUGGCUGAAAGGACCCUGAUACAGCUGUCUCGAGUGAGGCUAUGCCAGUGCCUGGCAAAUACAGAAGUGGAUGCUCACAGUCAUCUAUAGGAUGGAACACAGGGCCCCCAAUGGAGGAGCUAGAGAAAGUACCCAAGGAACUGAAAAGGUCAUGUUAACUUCUUUACCUGCAUCCUGCUCUUCGGUGCUUAAGAUUAGAGCUCCUUUCUACUUGAUUCAGAUCUGAAAACACUUGGAAAUGAUCUCUGAGCACUCAGUCUCCUGGGUCUAGACUCUCAGGAGAUAACCCCCAAACUUCAGCCCUAAGGACAGGCUCGGGCGUCACUUCAGUGCUCACGUCGGACAUUUUUGUCUUUUUUAGGAUUUUCUUCGAGUCCAUCCCCUUGCCUUCCUUUCCUGCUGUUCUCUUCGCUCCCGUUCACAGCCAUCCACACACAGAACCAGAAUCUCAGAGGGAAGCAUGACCUCAUGUGUUUGUGGUCCUCAUAAACCUGCCUUGUCUUCCAUUUUAGUACUUUAAGUUGUGUUGAUAAAAACAAUAAAAUUUAUAUAGUUUAUCUCUUUACUAAAAAGAGUCAAUAUGCAUUGUUCACCAUGACUUCAGUCACCUGCACUGACUACCUACUUAAAGUGUAAGCUUUUUCUUAGAUGAAAAGAGAAGAUCAAAUGUCUGUGUAACUCUUCAUUUAACAAGCCUUCUCCUCUCCUCCUCCUCCUCCUCUUUUUUUUUUUUUUUCUGAGCUAGGAUGUCAUUAUAUCACCCACAGACUGGCCUAGAACAGACAGAGACAUGAGGACCCUCCAUGAGACACAGCACAUGUAGGCCUUAGACACCUGCUUGCUGCCAAGUCACACAGCCAAGACAGAGGAUGUCACUCAGGGUCCUGCCAGUUGUGUAACCAGUCUGCAGCAGAAAGUUCCAGAAUGUGUAAGCAUGUGGUGGACAGGACUGGUUAUUCAGGGGGAUGAUCUAUCUAUGGAGAUAAGAGGACAGUUGAUGGAUUUCUGGCCACUGGCUGCAGGCAAGGUUGGCUUGAAGUGAGGCUGCCUGGGUGUGUGCCCCUGCAGGAAAAGCAGGAGGAAGGAGCCAGGCAAAGAGGACAGCCCUGUGUGGGAAGAUGUGUCACUGGUCAUUCUUUACAAAGAAAAUAAAAAUGAGAUUUCUU
rnacentral:lncRNA from 1 species